GACGAACGCUGGCGGCGUGCUUAACACAUGCAAGUCGAACGAUGAACCCGGAGCUUGCUCCGGCGGAUUAGUGGCGAACGGGUGAGUAACACGUGAGUAACCUGCCCUUGACUCUGGGAUAACUGCUAGAAAUGGUAGCUAAUACCGGAUACGACCCUCGGUGGCAUCACCAGGGGGUGGAAAGAAUUUCGGUCAAGGAUGGACUCGCGGCCGAUCAGCUAGUUGGUGAGGUAACGGCUCACCAAGGCGACGACGGGUAGCCGGCCUGAGAGGGUGACCGGCCACACUGGGACUGAGACACGGCCCAGACUCCUACGGGAGGCAGCAGUGGGGAAUAUUGCACAAUGGGCGCAAGCCUGAUGCAGCAACGCCGCGUGAGGGAUGACGGCCUUCGGGUUGUAAACCUCUUUUAGUAGGGAAGAAGCGAAAGUGACGGUACCUGCGGAAAAAGCACCGGCUAACUACGUGCCAGCAGCCGCCGCAG
rnacentral:rRNA from 1 species